ACUUCUCUGCCUAGCUUUUAUCUACCUGAUCUCCCCAGCAGCACCCACAGUUUAGCAUGUAAGCUUGAAAAGCUCAUGCGGAAAAUCAGCAGAAGUGAUCACAAAUUACACAAACUUAACAAAAAGCCACCCAGAGCAAGGAACUUGGGGCACUGGUGUGGAUAUGAAGCCCAGUUCACACCAGAGUGGGUUUGCUGAAGGCAACCAGCUGCAUCCAUUCAGGAUCCUGAGUUGCAAAUCUCUACAUCUACCAUUUAAAAGCAAGGAACUCUACUGAGCUUGCUCUUUUCUUUUAAAGAGUUUGCAUAGAAAGAAGAAAUGCUGCUGCCUCUAAAAUGAAAGGAGGCUGGGUCUGGUGCCUUUCUUGCUCUAAGAAGAUUUGUAUUCAUGUCUAUCACCUUCCAGAUGAGCAGUAAAACUCCUGGCUAGGACUUGAUCACCUGCAAGCUGCUGCCUUGAGCUGUACAGAAAGGAAUGCAAGAGGUCCUUGACCAGAUGCUCUUAAAGGAGUGCUCUCCUUCUACGUACCGUUCCAUUUGUGUUUACUAGAUUUGGACUCACCAUCUACUUUCAUAUAUUAACAUGAGAUGGAUCACUGACCACCUUCUCCUAUGUAUAACCUCUGAGGUGUCCCUCCUCUGAUGUGCUCCUUCACCCUUGACUUCUGAAGGCAUGAAAGUCUGAGCUAUUUCAUAUCUCUUUUGUGGAGCCAUUCCUGACUUGGACACAACAUGAGAUUUUAUGUUCAUGAUGCUUCCUCCCUUGGGGACAAAAUAGGAUAUUAGAACUGUAUGAUACCCAAGAUAAAGGAAGGUCAUUUCUGCAGCUUAGAAGAAGGGGGAAAAAUACCUUGACUGCAAUAUUUUGCACAGGGUGGCAAGACUGCUUCCUACGGGGAUUUAAAAACCUCACAAAAUUCUGUGAUCAUCCCUUCACUGAAGAAAUAAGAUGGAUGAAGGAUUAAGGUUCCUUAGGAAAUUGACUGGUGGUUCUGAAGAUAUUAUGAGACCCUCUGUCUCAGAUAUCUAUUCCGGAGGUAAGCACUUUUGUUUUUUCAGCAAUGAGCUUUUGCUAAACUUUCAUCAAAAGCAGUGGAAGAAAUGGACAUUUCUAUUAGAAACAAAGAAAUUAAUCAAGUGAUUGGUGAGUUGCCUUCUGGGAAAGACCCUGCAAAGCAUGGAUGGGCUCCCGAAAAACAUUUAAUUUUUGUAGCUAUCAACUAGAGUUUGGAAUGAAUUUGUGAACAUCAUUAAAAGACACAUCGUUACCUGAUAAAUUGAAAGGGUACUGGAGGUAGACACUGGGAUGACAUCCAACCAGUAGUUCUAACAGAAAGCAAUUAUUGCUAAAACAGAAAUAAUAAAAAUCAAAACUCAAUUUUUGAGACCCAAAGACUGUCAGCCUUGUGGAUGUGAUUACAAAAUGGUUCUGGACCUAAUUUCUGUGUUUCAUUUUUCAGGCUUAGAGGUGGUUACUAUCACACAGUAAUAACUGGGCACUUAUGCGCAGUCAUACAGCAAUGUUAUGGAUUGCCUGUGGAGGAUUUUCAUCCUUAAUUAUUUAUUUAUUGAAUUACAAUGCAGAGAGAUUGAUUAGAUUGAGGAUAUGAUGGGAAUACUAAUGAAGAUUGGCUCUCAAUUUGGGAUACAUUUUGAAGACUAUCCCAUCAUUUUGAAGAAAAUCCCAUUAAUUUUAGCCUUGGAGCAACAACAGUCAGUGCUGGAGUCGUGUGUGCAAACACAGGGGACAAAGGUGUAGAAAUGUGUGGGUGACAAUCAUAUUCUGUGAAACAAGGCUUGCUGAGAAGUAUGCUGUGCCUAUAUUGCUCGAGCAAAGUAUAUAAUAUCGACAUUGCUGGAAUUUUGCUGCCAUGAUACUGCUGAAAUGAGAGGUCUUUUCUGUGAAUGUAUUCUUUAGUUAUAAAUCUUUGCUAGUCUGAGUUAACUGCCUGUAGUUUUUGUGUUGAUUUCAUGCAGUUCAUCUUCACUGUUUCAUGUUAACUUAGCCCAGUAGAACAGCUACCUCAAGUGGCAUUGUUUCUGCCUUCUAGUUGGAUAAUUUAAACUUCUUAAAUGGAAGAUUAGGAGAUAGCAUUUUCUAAAUAAUUAAUCACAUAUACUCUUGUUUGCAGGCUAAAUUUUUUUCUUGUGGGGAUAAAUGGAUACUUGCAUGAAGAAUGAUCCUUUUGCACGAAACUUUGUUGCAGCCAAUAUUAAGUGUCAUGGGAAAUCAACAUGGCUGCAAUGAAUAGCUGUUAAGAAUAUAAAUGAGUGUGCUUAAAAAUUCUUGGGUUAUCUGAAUUUCAGGCUGAAUACAGAAGCAACACUCAAAGAAUGAUUUUUAAAAUCAAUAAUUUAGUGCAUGCACAAAGCCUGCAUUUUAUUUCUGUUCUGCUUUGGAUUUGUAGUGUGUUUUUGUUAGUUAGUUUGUUUUGUUGUUUUUAUGCUUUUUCUUCUUCCAGCAUAAGGGAGAUGUGGAAGCAUAUUUUUGGCUGCAUCGUUAUAAGGAGGGAUGUAAUUCUGUGAGUAGAGAGGGUGCUUCUUCUGUGCUGUGAUUCCCCCACAGAGCUUGACCCAUGAUACAGACUCUGGUAUCCUCUUCUCUUCACUCAUGUCUGAGGAAGGCAAAAAUUGAGAAGGAUAUUGCACGAAGGGGGCAGGAAGGCUGAGGAUUUUCUUCUAUCCUCCAGUGCUUGCAGCUCUGCUAAAUGGAGAUCAGCAGUGGCACCGUGGAAGAGCUCAGGUUGCCACUGAAAUGUGCAGCAUAACAUACAGAAAAACAAAUGAGCAAACCUUGAAAAGGGAAGCAAUACACCAUCCUUGCCCAGAAGAGCCUAAAAGAGACUGUAAAUACCUUUGUGAGUUUUUACUCCUACUUCAACUUAGAAUUCACUUCACAUAUUGCUUUAGUUCCUAAAUAGCAUCUUAGAGCUUUAAAGAUCAGAAGCCCCUAGACCUCCUGCUAGUAUAAUAAGAUUAGUUUCCUGCUUAUUCGAGUGUGUCUGUGCAUGUUUAGAGAAUUGGGGCUGGAAGCAGGGGACAAAGGGAAAGGAAGGCAGGCUGAAGUACCUGUUUUCUCACUAAUCUGCUGGGAACACAUAAUUAUAAUCUGCACCUUAAAACAUCAAAACAUCUUUCAGAAAUACUUGCACUCCAUAGUGGAUAAUUAUUGCUAUAAAAUCAUGAGGAAGAAACAUAUUCAAGAACACUUGGUGUAGUUCACUUUAGAAGAACAUCUAUAUUCAAAGAUUAAAAGAACAAUAAAUGGAGUUGUUCCUCGCAAAGCACUGAAAUUCAUUUAAGCUGAUGGAUUUGAAUGCAUGCUUGUCAAAUAUAGGUAAUGUUCAGCUAUACUGUAAAUCACACACUACCAUAGCUUGUGCCUACUGAUGUUACAUAAAAAUGAUGUGCUAAUGUUGCUUCUUCUUGAUUUUAUCAAAUAUAUUCAGCCUCACAUUGAAUGGGCUAGACCUGUAUAAUUUAACAUGGUUUUACUUAUUAAAUGCAGAUUUGGUUUGACUUGAGGCAGAGGUGUGAGAACAGGUCAGGCAGGAAGCUGUCUCAGAAUCUAAAAAUUUAGUUGAAAUUAAAAUAUUUUUAGGUUUUAUCAGAUUUAAGCAGUCUAUCCUUUUUGCAUGGAUUUAUAGGCCUGAAAAGAUGGUGACCUGAGCUAGUUGAAAACAGGGCUUUAACCAUCUCCUGCAAUAGCUGUAGUUUUGCUAACUCUGAAAACAUUUAUUUAAAAGACUGAAGAUUUAUACAACACUCAAAUAUAUCAGGUCUGGAAACUGCUUCUAGUCUUCAUGUUGAUAAAAUAGUUCAUGAGAGUUUAUUUUUGUGGUAGUAAAUAGUUCUGCUGGGUGGUUCUUCUAGGGGCUCAGAAAUUUGAUGUGCUCUUAUACUCUCUGCAUUGGGUUUGAGUCAGCUUGUAAGAGAAGUGGUAUUAAUCCUCAUUCCUUCACUCAUAUCUGUCAUCACUGACUGAAGCCUCCUGUCCCCUACAAAAGGAGCUACUGCUUUGUUAAGAGUCCAAGUCUGACUGGCUGAAACACUGCUCUGCUAUUUUUGCAUCUACUUUUUGGUCUACAUUUAAAUAUCCUGUCCUUUGAAAUCUUUGAAAUGUGUUAUCUUGUUAUAAGAAGACAUCCUGGGAAGCUGGUGAAAGGAAAUAGUCCAGCUAGAUGAUAAUGAAAUAACCUAGGCCUUAAGCUUCAGACACAAAGUGAAAUAUUCAUUUUUUUUUUUUAAGUGUUAGUAUAUUUUUUUUUCUAGUUUUCUCAUAUAGUUUCUGCUUUUUGAGGGAGGUAAGGGGGAAAACUAUAUUCUGUCCAUGGGUAUGAGCUUCUCAGAAAGCCACUUAAAGCAUUUUACUUUAUUACAAAAGAAUAAAGACACUGGAUGGAAUUAACAUUUGGGGUUUUCAUAUGUCAGAACUGGGAAUAAAACGAGGAUGUGCUGAGGGACCAGACCAUGCUAACUUUUCUGCCUUGAGCACACUCUUACCCUGUAAGAGUCCUGCAGUAUUUUGCUUCCAGGCAAAAUUGAACCCAGUUGUUCAGCUUCUUGGGUGCAUUAGUGCUGGUGGUGUGAACAAAACUUUGCAGAAGAUGAGCCUGAAGGAGUUUGGUUUAGUUAGUUACUUGCAAUAGCUCGAGAAGAGUUAGGGAUUGUCACUGAAUUGUUAGGGGGUUAACA